AACACGAUAGGUUAUAAACCUCAAGUCGUGUGCUAGUGAAGAACUUCAGGUUUUAUUCUUGAUUAGUUCUUGAGACUUUCAAGACCUUUAAGACUCCCACUGUCCUCUUGACCUAUAAGACUUCCUUGUCAAAUAUUCAAGAGAUAGUGUGGAUUCUAAUCAAGACAAACACUUCACACAAUUGGCCUAAGUUGGUCUUUGUUUUAUCCAAAACAUCACAACUUACCAAUUUCAAAUGUACAAGAGUAGAAAACUUUUACUCUUACAUUUGACAAGUGUUUUAAACCUUCUUUAAGACAUGUCACUCAAGUUACAAUCUUGGAGUAUGACUCUAAGAAUUUUUUUUUGGAACGAAGUAUGAAUCAUCUUCUUGAUUUAACCACUUCAACAAUUCAUAGCUCCUCUUCUUAGCUAUAAGAAGGCACUUAGAGGAUGAAUUGUGAUAAGGUCUCUAAAUCAUUAAGAUGAUCAUAAAAACUGAUACUAAAGUACUCUCCCAUCUUUUCAGAUUUGAGAAACUUUUAUCCUUCUACCUAAUUUGAUUCUUCUUAUUCGCUCUGCCAUACAUUGGAACCUUUUCCAAUGUCUCAGAAUUACACUUAAGCUUGUAAGUAUAACCAUAUUUACUGAGCUAUAGUAAAUUAUGACGAAUAAUCUUAUCGAUCUUUUGUGGUGGACUUGACCAGUGCACAAGACUGUGUACUCGAUCCCUUAGUCCUUCACUUGACUCACACAUCCAUGUGAACAAGUAGUUAGUCUUAAUUUUCCAAUACUUGAAACUUCUCAUUCAUCAUGCUAUACAACUUGCAUGAUUCCAAGUUCUGGUCCAAUUGAAACUUGGGUGAUGAGAAUCUUUCCUUAUUUGGUAAAUUUAGACAUUACCACAAAUGAAAGAAUCAAUAUCAUAUUUCCACUCUUGCUAUUAAUGGAAUCAUAUAAGCAACAAUCACUACUAGAAUAUAGGCCUUUAAUGACACGCAAACCAUGACACGCAGUGAUUUACGAUACGGAAAAUCAUGUGCCCUAAAAAUAAUGUCAUCUCUUCUAAAAUUUGAAGGAUUUAGAACACACAUUUUUG
rnacentral:lncRNA from 1 species